rnacentral:rRNA from 1 species
CCUACGGGAGGCAGCAGUAGGGAAUCUUCCACAAUGGGCGAAAGUCUGAUGGAGCAACGCCGCGUGGGUGAAGAAGGCCUUCGGAUCGUAAAACCCUGUUUUUAGAGAAGAAAGUUCGUGAGAGUAACUGUUUACGUUUCUACGGUAUCUAUCAAGAUAGCCACGGCUAACUACGUGCCAGCAGCCGCGGUAAUACGUAGGUGGCAUGCGUUAUCCGGAUUUAUUGGGUGUAAAGGGAACGCAGGCGGUCUUUUAAGUCUGAUGUGAAAGCCUUCGGCUUAACCGGAGUAGUGCAUUGGAAACUGGGAGACUUGAGUGCAGAAGAGGAGAGUGGAACUCCAGGUGUAGCGGUGAAAUGCGUAGAUAUAUGGAAGAACACCGGUGGCGAAGGCGGCUCUCUGGUCUGUAACUGACGCUGAGGUUCGAAAGCGUGGGUAGCAAACAGGAUUAGAUACCCCUGUAGUC